AUGAUCCUAAUCGGAGCAAAACUUCAUUCGAAAAGGAUCCUCUACACACAGCCUUCCUAGUAUAUCUUGGCUUUUACCUUUCAAUUGAUCAAUCAAUUGAUGUGUGUGAAAAUAAUCGAGAGGGCUAUGUUACGCUAUACGAUGCCUUCGAGGGCUUCUAUUCAGGGUAUGUCUAUCGGAAGGUCCGAGAUUGCUGGAAUUUCCCAAUUUGCAGAUCGCAUUACCAAGGAUUACGGUUGGACAUUUGAGUUCACUUUAAAAUAAACAAGAUGCUUGAACAGCGUUGCAGAACAGACAGCUUGGCUUUAGGCAGUCCUCGUUGUGAAGUAUGUUGGAGUGUUCGAUUGUCCGAAGUUAUUGCAUUGAAAAAGAAAUACAAACCUUAUUUGUAUUUGUAUUAGACGCAUAGUAUGGUAGCGAGACCAAAUGGUCGCGGUAUUGUCGACUAUUAUGGCGCCGAUCCAAAAGAUGUUGAUAUUCUAAUGGGAAAAUUUAAAAAGAGCUUUGGCAGUGCUGGUGGUUUUAUUGAUGGAACAAAGAGCUGUACGACACAAACUUUCCGUAAGGUAGCGGUUGUUGGAGUUAGGUUUCCUGCCACUCCAAUUGUGGAAGGACGUACAUAUACGCUUAAGAGCAGUUUGAUUAUGCCUUACAAGUGAUUGAUGAAAUAAGUGAUUCAGUAAUGAGUUGGCCUAAAGCAUUCAUGUAAAGUAAGAAAUUCUAAUCCGAUUAUUUAUUAAGUUAAAAGGAAUAAAUAAAUAAUAAUAAAUAAAUGAAUAAGGUCAUUUUAUAAUUCGUUUAAUAAGAAUUUCAUUUAUUUGAUGUAUCUUUCCAUAUAUAUAUAAGUAUAAAGUUAGUUACUAAAGAUCUAUUAUAUUUCUAUCAAUUAAAAUAAAUAAGUAAAGCAAAAUUGAAAGAUAUUUUAUUUUCAUCGCAGUAGAAAAAAGCGGAGGUCUAGAUAAAUUUUUUGAAAUCGCCCUUUAACAAGGCGUUGUGACUUCAAAGGGUGAACCCAAUAUUGCCUUUUGAUUGCAGGUUUAUUCCUUCUUUUUAAUUCAAACGCACAUAUCAGUGCCAUUUCGUAAAAAUCCAUGCCUAGAAAAUUUAAUUGCCUUUCAAAAAACAAAAAAUAUAUUUUAUAUAAUUUUGUAAUUUUUUUCUACUCUUUACAUUCAUACGCAAAAGAGUAGGACAAAUUUGAAACUAUUUUGUUUCGUGUUUAUGAGAUAGAAAUAGUGAAUAAAUGUUUUCUGUGUAUUGGUUUAUUUCGUUGAUUACUUUUGGAGUUGCUUAUGUGCGCGAUGUUUGGGCAACUGACGAUCAAACUAUUUGGUUUCGAAAAAGUUGCAUGUGCGCGCCUAGCCUAAGGGAAC